CGCAAUUAUUUAUAUGAAAGGUUUUUAUAUGAAAGUUAUACCAACCUUCAUUCACUUCACAUAUCAAAGCAAUGGUAUCCAGCAACCAAAUUCUUCAACAAAACCCAACUACCAAUAUAAGAAAAAACAAACCAAGUUAAAAAGCAGAAUAAGCAAAAUGCAUUGUUACCAUCAUUCCAGAGGUAUGUGAUGCUAUAUGGAAAACUUUAAAAGAUAUUCAUAUGCCAGUUCCAACUAGAGAACAUUGGGAGAAGAUUGCAUAAAAAUAUUUUGACCUGGCUCAUUAGAUGGUAAGCACUUUAUAUCAAAAGUUAGAAAAACCAAUAUCAAACACCUUAAAAAACUAUGAAACCUUAUCCUAUGAAAAAUACCAGUCCAGAAGCAAAACAUUAUAAGUUAAGUAGUGAUUGAAGGCACAUUUGGCAUAACUACUGAUAAGUUUGCCAUUAAUUCUAAAUCUAUAAAGUGCUCAGUUGAAAAUGCCUGUAAAAUAUAGUAUUGAAUAUGAAAAAAUUGA